AUGCACGAAGACUCCAAACCUAUCGGAGUCGCUCCGAUGACGCUUCCCUGGCGGUGGAAAAAAAUAAGCAGAAACCUCGCUCCUUGCUGCUGUGCACUCCAAUUUCGAAGCAGAACGAGAAUGAUAAUGACCGAUAUGAUGCAUUUAGAAUGGUUGAAGCGAGGUGAUGAAGAAGAUUCAGAGUUGAUGGAGAAUCAUUGCAGAGAAAGAAUCGAGAGUCCCUGUGGGAGAAACUCCAAACAAGUUGAAGAGAAAUUUUUGGGCUGGCAUAAUUCUAUUGAUAGCAUGUUCAUUGGCAUUCAAACUGAUUGGGAUAAGGCUUCUUUGGGAUGGAGCAGGUUGGAACAAUGUUGA